GAUGAACGCUAGCGGCAGGCUUAACACAUGCAAGUCGAGGGGUAUCUAUCUUCGGAUAGAGAGACCGGCGCACGGGUGCGUAACGCGUAUGCAAUCUACCUUUUACAGAGGGAUAGCCCAGAGAAAUUUGGAUUAAUACCUCAUAGUAUAUAGACUCGGCAUCGAGAUUAUAUUAAAGUCACAACGGUAAAAGAUGAGCAUGCGUCCCAUUAGCUAGUUGGUAAGGUAACGGCUUACCAAGGCUACGAUGGGUAGGGGUCCUGAGAGGGAGAUCCCCCACACUGGUACUGAGACACGGACCAGACUCCUACGGGAGGCAGCAGUGAGGAAUAGUGGACAAUGGGCGCAAGCCUGAUCCAGCCAUGCCGCGUGCAGGAUGACGGUCCUAUGGAUUGUAAACUGCUUUUAUACGAGAAGAAACACUGCUACGUGUAGCAGCUUGACGGUAUCGUAAGAAUAAGGAUCGGCUAACUCCGUG
rnacentral:rRNA from 1 species